CUUGCACUUCUAAGAUCUUGAUUUGUCCGACCUCUUCUUUCUUCAACACCUUUGAAAAUGUCUGGACCCUCCGACCGUCAUUUUGAUUUGAACCUUGGUGAAGAGGUAGUCCCGUCUUCUCCAGAUAACAUAUGACGCCCAUCUUUCAUAUCCCCUACUGGUCCUCUUACCGUUGGGGAUUCGGUGGUGAAGAAUGAUAUGACCGCUGCGGUGGUGGCCCGAAACCUUGUCACUCCCAGAGAUAACAGACUACUUUCCAAACGGUCUGAUGAGUUGGCUGUUAAGGAUUCUCUGGCUCUCAGUGUGCAGUGUGCAGGUUCUGUGUCUAAUAUGGCCCAACGCCUAUUUGCUCGAACCCGUCAAGUUGAAUCAUUGGCGGCUGAAGUGAUGAGUCUCAAACAGGAGAUAUUAGAGGGCUCAAGCAGAGAGAUAAACAGUUGCAUAAGCUCGCACAUAGCUAUGCGACAAACAUGAAGAGGAAGAUUAACCAGAUGCAGGAAUCUGAUGGUCAGAUUUUACUUGAUCAUCAGAGGUUUGUGGGUUUGUUCCAGCAGCAUUUGCCUUCGUCUUCUGGGGCUGUACCGCGUAAUGAAGCUCCAAAUGAUCAACCCUUGGCUCCUCUUCUUCCUGGAGUUCCGCCGAGUGGUGUGGCUUCAAACAGUCAACCUCCGACGCCUCUCAUUUCUGGAGCUCUGCUGAGUGGUGAGGUGGCACCUAAUCGUCCUUGAAGAUCCCCUCUUGUAAAUUUGAUUUGAUUUUUUUUUAAGUAUGUAUAAUGCAAAUUUAUGUAAAAUUUCCAGAAAAAAUAAAUAAAAACGGACUUUAUUUCUCUCAAUGCAUUUGUUUUGUUUUGUUUUUGUUUUUUUUGUUUUUUUGUUUUUGUUUUUUUUGUAAAUACAUAAUAACAUAUGUAUUUAUUUAUUUAUUCUUUUGUAAUAAAAUUGACUUUCUUUAAUAAAACUUUUAUAUUUUUCUUAUUUAUUUUGAUAUGACUGAACUCGAAAUUGAAUGUUCGAGCCGCCUACGUACCCUUCCAAAGAAGAGAUCAAGCCAUAACGUAGUUCAAAUGAGUGAUGAAUUUAAUAGUGAUUUUGAUGAUGAUUUUGCCGUACACAGUUUAUGCUCUUGUGGGCCAGGAGCUUUGGUGUUGCCUUUUAUGCUCGUGCAGACCAGGAGCGUUGAUGUCGCCUUUUAUGCUCGUGUGGGUCAGGAGCGUUGAUGUUGCCUUUUAUGCUCGUGCAGACCAGGAGCUUUGUGCCAUGCAGUUUAGACUCGUGCGGGCAAGGAGCUUUGGUUCGUGCAGUUUAGGCUCAUGCGAACAAGGAGCAUUGGUUCGUGCAGUUUAGGCUCGUGCGAACAAGGAGCAUUGGUGUUGCCUUUUAUGCUCGUGCAGACCAGGAGCUUUGUGCUAUGCAGUUUAGACUCGUGCGGGUGAGGAGAAUUUGUGAAUUUUGUCAAGCACUUUUGGAGAGGCGUUCCUUACAAUCUUCAUAGCAAGGAGCCUUGACCGAGUGAUUGAAGAAGUCUUCGGGAAAGAAGUCGCACAUCGUGAUGGCAACAGACGAUCUUUGUGUCGUAAUUUCAUCAUCUUCAACACGUUCACGUUGCUUUGAAGGUUGACAAGAGCUGCUUUGCCCCCUUUCCGAUUGGCGGACUUGUGGAGGAGACGUAUGCUUCUUGUGCCAUUUCUUAGGAGUGACUUGAGUCCAUCCUUCAAGUUUGCUUGUUUUGGAGGAUGCCCCCGGCGGUUGAGGUGAAAAUUUUGUGUUGAAAGAGCCAGAAGUGAUGGUGGUAUAGUUUGACUUCACCACAUCGUCAAGAUCUAGCUCGAUGAUUCCUUUCUGAGCCCACUUUAUGAUGAGAUCUUUCAGCACAAAGCACUUUUCUGUCGGAUGACUGAUGAAGCGGUGGAAUUUACAGUAUCUUGGACUGUUGGUACGAUUCAUCUCUUCCGGCCAUCUGCACUCAGGCAAACUGAUCACCUUCUUGUCCAACAGGUCAUCCAACAUGGCAACCACAUCAGAGUCAGGGAAUGGAUAAGUCUUCUCUUUAAGCUCCUUCAAAGUGCGUCUACGCAUCUCUUGAUCACGAAAAGCUUCGGUUUGAAUCGUUUUGCCUCGUGUGGAGAUUUUGACGGGAGAUGUGUUGACUGUCAUUGCUUCCUUGGUGGAUUUCCACGUAGCCUUCUCCACCUUUGUCUCAAGAAUUUUGUCGUUCUUGUAGUCGGCGAUCGGUUCCUUCUUCCCAUGAUGGGUGAUGCUCAACUCCAUGUCAUGGGCGUGGGUGGCCAAUUCCUCGAAGGUCCGUGGUUUAAUGCCUUGAAGGAUGUAUUGCAAACCUCAUUGCAUGCCUUGGAUGCACAUCUCGAUUGAAGAGGUCUCCGAGAGCCUAUCUUUGCAGUCGAGGCUUAGAGUGCGCCAUCUGUUGAUGUAGUCAAUGACCGGCUCAUCUUUCCAUUGCUUCAUACUUGUGAGCUCCAACAUGCUUACAGUGCGGCGGGUGUUGUAGAAGCGGUUGAGGAAUUCCCGCUCCAAUUGCUCCCAGCUGUUGAUGGACUCAGGCUCUAGGUCCGUGUACCACUCAAAUGCGUUUCUUUUCAGCGAGCGCAUAAACUGCUUGGCGAAGUAGUCCCCCUCCGUCCCCGCGUUGUUGCAAGUUUUGACGAAAUGUGCAACGUGCUGCUUUGGGUUUCCUUUUCCAUCAAACUGCAUGAACUUUGGUGGUUGAUAUCCCAUCGGCAUCUUUAGGGCAUCAAUCUUCUUUGAAUAAGGCUUUGAGUACAACCCGGAGGUAUUUGAGCUCCCUUCGUACUAUGCCUUGACGGUGCUGGCAAUCAUCUCUUGCAACUGUUGGAUAGAAAGAGAUCCCAUGAGUGCCGCUUCUUGGUCUGGCUCCGGCUUCACAUCGAUUUUCUCCACCGUAGGCUCAUCUUCUGGGUUAGGGUUCUCGCUGUCCUGUGGCUCCAGUUGACUGAUGAGUGCAGCGAUUUGCAAGUCUUUUUCUUCCACAGUUCGGGUUAGCCUUGCGAUUGCUUCAUUCAUUUGAGCCAGUUGUUCUUCGAUGGAGGUAACGCCGAUGGUCAUGACUUGUGCAACCAAUAGACGUGACUUUCCUUUAGACAUCCAAGAUGCUGAAGAAGAACGUCAUUGGUUGUUUUGGGAUGUCAUCUUGUGUGCCUCAGCAACAUGCUUUGGUGCCCCCAGCGAGGUCAGGUUGAUGACAGACUCACACCUUUGAUGCUCCCUUUGCUCUUUUAGCGGCACCAACUUUGAAGUGGCAUGUUAAGGAGCGGUUGUGGUGCUAAUGGAUUGUCCAUUUGCGGCAGAAGUGCUUAGGAUCCUUCCCUCAGUGAUUGCGAGAACGGCUUGUCCCUUGCUUGAUGCCAUUGAUUUUGAGGUGUGUUUGGAUUCCUUAAACGGAGAAAGAUAUGAGAGGUAGAGAUUGUCCCACCGGGCGUGCCAAUUUGUGAACACGAAAAUUUCCUGAAACGAAAGAGACAAGAACAACGUGCACAAAAUAAUAUUUUGGUGUUAAUGGAUUUGUUGGGUUACGAUCUCUUUUAACUUGAUCCUCUGAUUCGAUCUCCGUAAGGUGUUGAUUUAUGGAUGUUUCGUUGAUCUAAGGGCCGUCGAGGCUUGAUCUUGGAUGAACUGUUGGAAGUUUCUUCAAGGGGCCGUGGGCUUGAUCUUUGAAGGUGGAUUUGAGCGGAUCUUCAAGGAGCCGUUGGGGCUUGAUCUUGAGGAUGAGUGUUUCUUCAAGGGCCGUUAAGGCUUGAUCUUGAAUAACGGUGAUGAACGGAUCUUCAAGGGCUUUUGGGCUUGAUCUUGAAGAACGGUUGGAUGUGUGGAUUUGUUGAUGUUGUUGAUCCAAGGGCCGUCGGGGCUUGAUCUUGGAAGAACGAUGAACGAAGAACGAAGAACACUUUCUUCAAAGGCCGUCGGGGCUUGAUCUUGAAUUGGUGAUUGUUGAUCCAAGGGCCGUCGGGGCUUGAUCUUGGAAGAACGGUGAACGAAGAAUGAAGAACGAAGAACACUUUCUUCAAGGGCCGUCGGGGCUUGAUCUUGAAUUGGUGAUUGUUAAUCAAAGGGCCGUCGGGGCUUGAUCUUGGAAGAACGAUGAACGAAGAACGAAGAAGGCUUUCUUGAUUCUUCGGGAUGAACGGAUGAUGAACAAUGAACACUUUCUUCAAGGGCCAUCGGGGCUUGAUCUUGAAUUGGUGGAAGUUCUUCAGGGCCUUUGGGGCUUGAUCUUGAAGGUGGAUGAUUGUUGAUCCAAGGGCCGUCGGGGCUUGAUCUUGGGAUGAACAGUUGUGUGGAUUUGUUGAACACUUUCUUCAAGGGCCGUCGAUGCUUGAUCUUGAAUUGGUGGAAGUUCGUCAAGGGCCGUUGGGGCUUGAUCUUGAAGAAGGAUUUGACGAAGAACGAAGAGAGCUUUCUUGAUCCUUCGGAAUUUGCUUGAAUUUGGGAGGUUGGAUGCUUGAAAGCUUUAGAGUUUCAAAGCUUCAAGGAUUUUGGAUGUGUGGGGAGUAUUCUCUUACAUUUUGGGAGUAGAGAAAUGUAUUUGUGAAUUGGUUUUUGAUACCUUGAUGUAGAAGCCUAUUUAUAGGCUUUGAGAAUGAAUCACCACCACAAAAUAUUUUUUUCUUUUCCAAGCACCAUUGCCUAAUUUCCCACUUAAUACAAUUUUAAACUUGAAGUGGUAAUUUUAUGGCCUAAUUUUCCACUUAAUAUCAUUUUAAACUUGAUAUGUGCAUGCUUUGUCAUUGCCCAAAAUGAGAAGAAAACCUUGUUUUGAUCUUCAAUGGAUUGAAAUGUGCUUUGCCUUGUCAUUGCCCAAAAUGAGAAGAAAAACUUGUGUAAUCCUCCAAGGGUAUUUCUUUUUAUUUUGUUGAGUCACACACCAUGUGUACAAUUUGUAUGACACGUGGCAUAUGCCAUAUAUGCCUUGACACGUCAAAAUUUUAAUGCGUUGGUGAACAUUUAUUUCACCGCAAUUUCGAUGUCUACAAUUUCAUUUCUUGUGAAUAAUGUUUAUCCUGUGUUCUGUCCAAUCGCGUAUUAAAAAAUGUGUGAAGUUUGGAUUAACCACACUCUUUUAGAAUUUCCUUUAUUUACCACUUUUUGAGAAUUUCCAAUAAGACUGGGUGAGUCUCCGCUGAGAAUUUCCUCAACUAACACCACACUACUUGAGGGAUAAUUUGUUAUAUCUUUGAAUAAAGAAUAAAACAGUUUCCUACUUUUGAAGGUACUAUUAACUUACACUAUAUUUGGAUGAAGGUCAAACUUUAUAAAUUGACAUACACCAAAUUCUUUGUUUGGAUUCAUAAACAUAUAAAUUUAGAAUUUCCGCGUGGAAAAAAAAAAUACUUAGAAUUUGAGACCUCCAAUUCUCAAAUUGAAAGUUUAAAAAUAAUAAAUUCCGUAUUCAAUUCAAUUGUUCUUUUAGGUUAACCAAAUAAGAAAAUUCACAAAUUCUAAAAUAUAAAAUCUCAUCAUUUCAAUUUCCGUCAUUUUAAAAUUCCUUAGUAAUAUUAAAUUUCUUCAUCCAAACAUAGUGUUAAGAAAUUUUUUAAAGAUACACUAUUUACACUCAUUUUUAUUUCUUACACAUUUAUUAACUUUGUCCAUUGAUUUCUUCAAUUCAUUUUGCCAGUUAUACAAAAAUUGAGAACAGUAUUUAUGAAUUAAAAAUACAUUUGUAGAUGUCACUACCAAAUUUUUAUUCCUAAUUCAAGAAAAUCUUAUCCAUAUAUGAUUGCCCUUGCCCACUUUAAAUGGGUGCCAUCACUUUACGAUAGAGCAAUCCUAACCGUCCACCUAGGUAAGCAUAACUGGCGAUGCAUGUCGCAAGGGGACCGCAUUGCACAAUAUAAUUAUACUAGUUGAUAAGACAAGUGAUGUCAAUCAAUAAAUUAUUUCAUUAAAACUUAGUUGUAUGUAUCAUAUGUUGUAAUGUAGGGUGUAUGAUAUGCUGACGCUGUAAAAAAAUGUAACCUUUUUAAUAUUACUCAUAAUAGUAAGACUUACCAGUAUUAGGAUGUUAUCAGUGGAAUGAGAAUCCUCUCCAGAUCUUUUUUGUGAGCUAUUAUUUGUAUUUAAUUUUAAAUAUAAAAAAUUAAAAUAAUUUAUGACGGCAGUGAUUCACAUGAUCUUCACAAAGAGAAUCCAAAUAAUCUUAAUUUAUAUCAGUGUGUCUAGAUAACAUGAUCGAGCCCCUUUACUUUUACCCUAUUUAGUAUUUUACAUUUGAACCUGUAAAUAUUCGAUUUUUCUUUGGUGCAACCGAGCACCAAAUAUAGAUUUUUUUUCACUUUUAUAUAAUGAUAAAUAAAGGGCAAUUGGCAGAUUUGAAUUCCAUUCGGAUUGGUCAAAAAUCAUUUUAAAUUGUUUUAUUUAAAAUUAAACACAUAUAGUACUUAAUAAAAAUUAGUCGUACAAUAUACGAUAAACAGAUAUAAUGUAAGGACCUUUAUGAUCUUCACAAAAAAGAUCCAAAGGUUGUGUAGCUGUUUCAAAAGGAUAAUACUCACUUUUGAUUAGUUCAAUGAAAUUUUAAACAUGUUUUAUUGUUUUAAAAAAUAAUAAACAUAUUUAUUAAUGUUUGUUUUACUUUAAAAAAUAAGCAGCACUUGACAACAUUUGAUUGUGCUAAAUAAAAAAUGAGUGACCACUUAGUACUACAGUCUUAUGAUAUUUUUCUUCAUUUGAAAGUGAGAGGUUUUAAGUUCGAAUCUCGUGGAUGACGAAUUUGAUAUCAAAUUAGAUUGCUCACUAUGUGGCUUAGCCGAACUCUCAUUUCCUUUAAUGUAAAAAUAUUGAUGUAUUCAAAAAAAUAAAAAGUGACUAUAGAGGACACUCAAUCUCAGCUGUAUGAUUAAAUCAGACGGUAAGAAAAAUUCUGCAAGCAUACUCGGUUACAUUAAUUGAAGAAAAAAUGGGUAAAUAUUGGGCACCAACGUUAUAAAUACCCUCCACCAUGCACCCAACUCCCUCACACCAUCACAACCCACGUUACAAAUCCUCCUCCUCAUCAUAACCAUUCUGUUUUCCGCAUAAUAUCCAAAAACCUAUCAUGUCUGAAGAGAAACACCACCGCGGUCUCUUCCACCACCACAAGGAUGAAGACAAACCCUCAGACUACCCUCAGUCUGGCUACUCUGAUGAAGGACGUCCCGGCGGCCUCGGUGGUGGUUACGGCGACACCAAUGAUUAUUCUGGUGAAGGACGUACCGGCGGCCUAGGUGGUGGCUAUGGCGACACCAAUGCUUAUUCUGGUGAAGGACGUCCCGGCGGCUAUGGCGGCUAUAACGAGACCACUGCUUACUCUGAGGAAAGAGUUGAAAGACCCGGCGGUGGCCGGUACAGUGAGACUACUGCGGCAUAUGGCAGCACCACCACUCAUGAAUCUGAACUUGAUUACAAGAAGGAGGAGAAGCACCACAAGCAUCUCGAGCAC
rnacentral:lncRNA from 1 species